GACGAACGCNGGCGGCGUGCUUAACACAUGCAAGUCGAACGAAGAGCGAUGGAAGCUUGCUUCUAUCAAUCUUAGUGGCGAACGGGUGAGUAACGCGUAAUCAACCUGCCCUUCAGAGGGGGACAACAGUUGGAAGCGACUGCUAAUACCGCAUACGAUCUAACCUCGGCAUCGAGGAUAGAUGAAAGGUGGCCUCUACAUGUAAGCUAUCACUGAAGGAGGGGAUUGCGUCUGAUUAGCUAGUUGGAGGGGUAACGGCCCACCAAGGCGAUGAUCAGUAGCCGGUCUGAGAGGAUGAACGGCCACAUUGGGACUGAGACACGGCCCAGACUCCUACGGGAGGCAGCAGUGGGGAAUCUUCCGCAAUGGACGAAAGUCUGACGGAGCAACGCCGCGUGAGUGAUGACGGCCUUCGGGUUGUAAAGCUCUGUUAAUCGGGACGAAAGNCCUCUNCGAAUAGUGAGGAGGAUGANG
rnacentral:rRNA from 1 species